ACACACACACAGGGCAGGGCUGGCCAUGCUUUCCCACAAAUCCAGAUUCCAAAGAAGAAUACUGAGAUGCUCCAGGGUCCCCUUAGAAUAAGGGGGACUAAAAAGCAACAAGACUCUAGUGAGCAGAAGUCUCUGAGCUGGUGCUGAUCUCAGGGAAGGCGAAUGUGGAUGCAAGAAGUCGGGAGAGAGCUUUUCAAGAAAUGAGGAUAGACUUCCAGGCAGCAAAGCUUUCUAAUCCCACCUGACGCUCCUCAAGUUAUCCGGAGCAGCUUCAUGGAGAAGAACGCACUGUUUGCAGCAGCCAAGAUUUGGAAGCAAC